UCCCUGAUAGCUCAGUUGGUAAAGAAUCUGCCUGCAAUGCAGGAGACCCAGGUUCAAUUCCUGGGUUGGGAA
rnacentral:tRNA from 1 species